AUGGAGAGACUGGCGACAGUUCUGGACUGCGGCUUGGCCGGCGGCACUGCUUCUGCCUGGCGGCAGGAUUCAUGGCGACUGGACCUACAUGUGAAGCUCGGUUGGUGGCCCGCCGAGAUGGUGUUGAGUGACCGUGUAUUUCAUGGCGUAGAGAGACAGAUAAACGCGCGAUUGAAGCUCCUCAGCAUGGUUGAGCGGUGCUCCUGUGCGCGGAGCAAUGGUGUUUGUAGAAGGGUGAAAGGCCAGUGGCUAGGUGGCUGGGUGUCACACGAUUUGGAGUGGAGAUGCUUUGAGGAUCUGCGGUGA